AUUGAACGCUGGCGGCAGGCCUAACACAUGCAAGUCGAGCGGAUGAAGGGAGCUUGCUCCUGGAUUCAGCGGCGGACGGGUGAGUAAUGCCUAGGAAUCUGCCUGGUAGUGGGGGAUAACGUCCGGAAACGGGCGCUAAUACCGCAUACGUCCUGAGGGAGAAAGUGGGGGAUCUUCGGACCUCACGCUAUCAGAUGAGCCUAGGUCGGAUUAGCUAGUUGGUGAGGUAAAGGCCUACCAAGGCGACGAUCCGUAACUGGUCUGAGAGGAUGAUCAGUCACACUGGAACUGAGACACGGUCCAGACUCCUACGGGAGGCAGCAGUGGGGAAUAUUGGACAAUGGGCGAAAGCCUGAUCCAGCCAUGCCGCGUGUGUGAAGAAGGUCUUCGGAUUGUAAAGCACUUUAAGUUGGGAGGAAGGGCAGUAAGUUAAUACCUUGCUGUUUUGACGUUACCAACAGAAUAAGCCCCGGCUAACUUCGUG
rnacentral:rRNA from 1 species